GCGGAAGUAGUUCAGUGGUAGAACAUCACCUUGCCAAGGUGAGGGUCGCGGGUUCGAACCCCGUCUUCCGCUCCA
rnacentral:tRNA from 3 species